GGCCUAACACAUGCAAGUCGAGCGGCAGCACAGAGGAACUUGUUCCUUGGGUGGCGAGCGGCGGACGGGUGAGUAAUGCCUGGGAAAUUGCCCUGAUGUGGGGGAUAACCAUUGGAAACGAUGGCUAAUACCGCAUGAUGCCUACGGGCCAAAGAGGGGGACCUUCGGGCCUCUCGCGUCAGGAUAUGCCCAGGUGGGAUUAGCUAGUUGGUGAGGUAAUGGCUCACCAAGGCGACGAUCCCUAGCUGGUCUGAGAGGAUGAUCAGCCACACUGGAACUGAGACACGGUCCAGACUCCUACGGGAGGCAGCAGUGGGGAAUAUUGCACAAUGGGCGCAAGCCUGAUGCAGCCAUGCCGCGUGUAUGAAGAAGGCCUUCGGGUUGUAAAGUACUUUCAGUCGUGAGGAAGGUUGUAGUGUGAAUAGCACUAUGAUUUGACGUUAGCGACAGAAGAAGCACCGGCUAACUCCGUGCCAGCAGCCGCGGUAAUACGGAGGGUGCGAGCGUUAAUCGGAAUUACUGGGCGUAAAGCGCAUGCAGGUGGUUUGUUAAGUCAGAUGUGAAAGCCCUGGGCUCAACCUAGGAGUUGCAUUUGAAACUGACAAGCUAGAGUACUGUAAAGGGGGGUAGA
rnacentral:rRNA from 1 species